rnacentral:rRNA from 1 species
UACGUAGGGCGCAAGCGUUGUCCGGAAUUAUUGGGCGUAAAGAGCUCGUAGGCGGUUUGUCGCGUCUGCUGUGAAAACCUAAGGCUCAACCUUGGGCUUGCAGUGGGUACGGGCAGACUAGAGUGCGGUAGGGGUGACUGGAAUUCCUGGUGUAGCGGUGGAAUGCGCAGAUAUCAGGAGGAACACCGAUGGCGAAGGCAGGUCACUGGGCCGCAACUGACGCUGAGAAGCGAAAGCGUGGGGAGCGAACAGG